GCGGCGGCUUGUGCUUCUUCGGAGGUGCUUCAGGUUUUGGCUCAGGCUUAGGCUUAGGUUUCGGUUCAGGCUUUGGCUCUGGGUAUGGUUUAGGCUCCGGUUUUGGUUCGGGCUUAGGCUCUGGUUUAGGUUCAGGCUUCGGCUCUGGUUUUGGCUCCGGCUGUGGCUUGGGCUCUGGCUUUGGUUCUGGGUGUGGUUUGGGUUCUGGUUUGGGAUCCGGUUUAGGCUCUGGAUAUGGUUUGGGCUCUGGUUUUGGUUCAGGCUUUGGCUCAGGCUUCGGUUCAGGCUCUGGUUUUGGCUCUGGUUUUGGUUCAGGUUUUGGCUCUGGCUUUGGUUCUGGCUUGGGCUCAGGCUUAGGCUCAGGCUUAGGGUGUGGCUUGGGCUCAGGCUUUGGCUUUGGCUCUGGCUUUGGCUCUGGUUUUGGUUCAGGUUUUGGCUCCGGCUUUGGUUCUGGCUUUGGCUCAGGCUUAGGCUCAGGCUUUGGUUCAGGCUUAGGCUUAGGCUCAGGGUAUGGCUUGGGCUCAGGCUUUGGCUUUGGCUCUGGCUUUGGCUUUGGUUUUGGUUCAGGUUUUGGCUCCGGCUUUGGUUCUGGCUUUGGCUCAGGCUUAGGCUCAGGCUUUGGUUCAGGCUCAGGGUGUGGCUUGGGCUCAGGCUUAGGUUCAGGCUUAGGCUCAGGCUCUGGGUGUGGCUUAGGCUCAGGUUUCGGAUCAGGCUUUGGUUCUGGGUGUGGUUUGGGCUCUGGCUUUGGUUUGGGCUCCGGUUUUGGUUCCGGCUUCGGUUCCGGUUUUGGCUCUGGCUUCGGCUCUGGGUACGGCUUUGGUUCUGGUUUUGGUUCUGGCUUAGGCUCAGGUUUAGGCUCCGGCUCAGGUUUUGGCUCUGGCUUCGGCUCCGGUUUUGGCUCUGGGUAUGGUUUAGGUUCAGGCUUAGGCUCAGGUUUUGGUUCUGGCUUUGGUUCCGGUUUAGGCUCAGGCUCAGGUACUGGUUUUGGCUCCGGCUCUGGCUUGGGCUCAGGUUUUGGCGUGGGUUUAGGAUGAGGCUUUGGCUUUGGCUUCGGCUCCGGCUCCGGCAGCUUCUCGUAUGUCACACGACCCUGCUUGCUCAUGAAGCGGGCGCCAUGGCCGAGCCCCCGGCCAGCAGCCGCCGCUUCAUCAAUGAAGGCGCUCGCCACC
rnacentral:lncRNA from 1 species